UACGAAGGGAGCUAGCGUUGUUCGGAAUUACUGGGCGUAAAGGGCGCGUAGGCGGCUUGGCAAGAUGGAUGUGAAAGCCCAGGGCUCAACCCUGGAAUUGCAUUCAAGACUGCCUUGCUUGAAUUCGGUAGAGGUUGGUGGAAUUCCCAGUGUAGAGGUGAAAUUCGUAGAGAUUGGGAAGAACACCCGUGGCGAAGGCGGCCAACUGGACCGACAUUGACGCUGAGGCGCGAAAGCGUGGGGAGCAAACAGG
rnacentral:rRNA from 1 species